rnacentral:rRNA from 1 species
UCCGUAGGUGAACCUGCGGAAGGAUCAUUACCGAGUACCGGGCGCAAGCCCGUACCCACACCCCGUGCUUACGCUCCGCGUUGCUUCGGCGGCCCCGCCCCCCGGGGCGCCCGCCGGAGGACCAACCAAACUCGAUGAAACCGGUCUGUCCGAGGAUAUAUGAAUCAGUCAAAACUUUCAACAACGGAUCUCUUGGUUCGGGCAUCGAUGAAGAACGCAGCGAAAUGCGAUAAGUAAUGUGAAUUGCAGAAUUCAGUGAAUCAUCGAAUCUUUGAACGCACAUUGCGCCCGGUGGCAUUCCGCCGGGCACGCCUGUCCGAGCGUCAUUGCAACAAUCAAGCCUCGCUUGGUGUUGGGGGUCGUCGCCGCGAGGCGACCCCCCCGGAACCCGUUGGCGGUGGCUGUCGCCCCGAUCGUCGCGCAUGUUACGACGAGGUGCCACGCCGCCCGCCCCAACCCGCAAUCGCGCACAGUUUGACCUCGGAUCAGGCGGGGAUACCCGCUGAACUUAA